GAUGAACGCUAGCGGCAGGCCUAAUACAUGCAAGUCGAACGGUGUCUUCGGACAUAGUGGCGCACGGGUGCGUAACACGUAUGCAACCUACCUUACAUUGGGGGAUAGCCUUUCGAAAGGGAGAUUAAUACCGCAUAAGACAGUAGCUGGGCAUCCAGCAGCUGUUAAAGAUUUAUCGAUGUAAGCUGGGCAUGCGUCCAAUUAGCUAGUUGGUGAGGUAACGGCUCACCAAGGCAAUGAUUGGUAGGGGAACUGAGAGGUCAAUCCCCCACACUGGCACUGAGAUACGGGCCAGACUCCUACGGGAGGAAGCAGUAGGGAAUAUUGGGCAAUGGACGCAAGUCUGACCCAGCCAUGCCGCGGGCAGGAUGAAGGCGUUAUGCGUUGUAAACUGCUUUUAUACAGGAAGAAACGACUCUUGCGAGAGGCAUUGACGGUACUGUAUGAAUAAGCACCGGCUAACUCCGUGCCAGCAGCCGCCGUAAGAC
rnacentral:rRNA from 1 species